rnacentral:rRNA from 1 species
GCAGCUGCGGUAAUUCCAGCUCCAAUAGCGUAUAUUAAAGUUGUUGCAGUUAAAAAGCUCGUAGUUGAACUUCUGUACAGUCUCACUUCUGGCUUCGGUCAAGGUGUUGGCUGUGCAUCCGCUUGCAAAGCUGGUUCGGCCUUAACUGGUCGGCUAGUAGAGUAAGCCCUUUACUUUGAAAAAAUUAGAGUGUUUCAGGCAGGCAAUGGCUCGAAUACAUUAGCAUGGAAUAAUGGAAUAGGACUUUUGUCCAUUUGGUUGGUUCUUGGACUUAAGUAAUGAUUAAAAGGGACAGUUGGGGGCAUUGGUAUUUAACAGUCAGAGGUGAAAUUCUUGGAUUUGUUAAAGACUAACUUAUGCGAAAGCAUUUGCCAAGGAUGUUUUCAUCAAUCAAGAACGAAAGU